GCCGCCGACAGGAGGAAGAGGAGACAAACUUGAGAAAGAAAGGGCUAAGGGGCAGGGGUCUUUCACUGCAAGGGUGCUUUCUAUCUCAUCUCAGCUUCAUUCAGGUCAGCCUUGCUAGAUCUCUGACUGUUACUAGCCCAAUUGUGAAGCAAGCUGUCCAAGAGGUAAGGAGUUCACUGAGGGCAUUCAGCUUACUAUCAAGAGUCAUCUCAGUUUACUAUCGAGAGUCAUCCGUUUGUCAGGGUGUCUGGUGGUGUCCAUGGUGGAGGAGAUCUCUUCACAGAUAACUGAUGGUCUCAAGGACCCCAAGGAUUCCCACCUAUAGUUCUGCCCAUGCAGGGGUAUAUUUCAUUUUCUCUGUUGUUUAGGAGAACAUUCCCUUUUCAUGCCUGAUGGACAACUUGAUGUUGAGAUCUGCGGCUGUGGUAUACCCACUGAGUUCCUGUAUCGUUUUCUUUGACUUCCAGGGCCCUUCUGGAUCCUAGGAGUCCACUGUACCAUCUGGCUUGAUAGGUCCCAGGUCAGAAACUCUGCUUCAAUAGCUUGUCCAUUCCUUGUUGGAGAGAUUAAAGGACUUCACCUGUACCUUUUCCAAUACAGACUGACAAAUAUUCCUAGGAACGUAGCAUAUGGAAAUUUUGGAUGCGAAGAGAAUGGUCGUUGCUGAGAAAAUAGUCUGAUCUGCUCCAGAAGGCUGCAUGCCAUGACUGGGAGGGGUGAUCUGCAAGAUGGCAUCUUCACAGGACUUCAGGCCCAGGGACUGACAUCAGGGGAUACCCAGGACAACCUCCCAGAGCCAGAACCAAGAUAGAGGUCCUCGCUUUCCUGACUUCUGGGCAUGCCAGGCUGCGUGGAUGGAGUGCUUCUCUUACCUCUUCUGGUAGCAAUGCUAUUUUAACUGGAUUUUUCUUGACUGUGGACACUGAAAAGCUGAGGAAGGGGUGGCGGAACUGAUUUGCUAUAGGCCGGGACUCCAGAAGAAAGGUAUAAUAAUAGUGGUGGAAUAAUAACAGUAACAAUGGUGACAUAGAAAAUACAGCUGGAGGGGCCGGGGAGAUGGGACGGUGGUCAAGGGUCCUCUUACAGAGGACCCUUGUUGGAUCUCAGCACCCACAAGGGGUGGCUUACAGUCUCCUGUGACUCCAGCUUCAGGGGGUCAGUUGCCCCUUGAGGUGUGGUACACAUACACUCAUCUAGGUGUACACGCAUACAUACAUGAUUUUAAAGAGAUAGAUUUACGGGGAGGGAGAAAGACAGGGAGGAGAGCUUUUAUUGCAGUGGGCUCACCAUUCCCUCACCAGCUAGGCUCCUGCUAGCUCCAGCUCUGACCUGUGAGGUUGAGAAUGCCCAAUCUCUGCUCUUUAAAUUCGGGUCAAGCCUUCAUCUGUGAAUUCUCACUCUUCUAUGCUCCUUCCUUACUGCUGGGGAUUUUUUUUUUAAAUAGUCUUUUCUAUUUUUAGAGACAGAACUCAUCUAAGAAGAGGCGUGAUGACAUAAUUCUAGAAACAGAAUCAGUGUGCUUCUCAAACCUGUUUUCUGCAUAAAGUCUGCAUUUCUGUGUGUUUCCUGCUCCUUCCUCUUCUAUCCAAACAGAGUUAUUCUGGACUUUGUCACAUUUCAAAGACCAGUGUGUAGUGGUGGGACUCAGUGCAAUGGGAAGCUGGUACUGUUAUUGUCAUCGAUGAUGUUUUUCGUCUCAUUUUUUAAAAAAAUUGAGGUGAAGUUUACAUAGCAUAAAAUCAACGCAUUUUUGAGUGCAUCAUCCAGUGGCAUUUAAGAUCUUCCCAAUUGCCAUUGUCAAGCGUCAAAACCCUGCCCUAACAAGCCACUCCUAUUUUCCCUUCCAGCCUCAAGCAGAGCUACCAUUAUCUUUCCAUAUUUGUGGAAUAAUUGACUUUUCUCCUUCCUUCCUUCCUUCCUUCCUUCCUUCCUUCCUUCCUUCCUUCCUUCUUUCCUUCCUCCCUCCCUCCCUCCCACCCUUCCUCCCUCCCUCCCUACCGCCCUUCCUUCCCCCCCUUUUUUUUUUGAGACAGUUUUUUUUUUUCUUUUGGUUUUUCAAGAUAGGGUUUCUGUGUAGCUUUGGAGCCUGUCCUGGUACUUGCUCUGUAAACCGUGCUGGCCUCCAACUCACAGAGAUCUGCCUUCUGUGUGCUGGGAUUAAAGCCGUGCACCACCACUGCCCGGCUUUUUGCUAUUUCUUAUAAAUGGGAUCAAACUAUGAUAUUUUAUGUCUGAGGUUUUUCACUUUAGCAUGAUGUUUUGAAAGGUUCAUCCAUCUUGUAGCAUGUGUUGGUACUUCACUGUGUUUUAUAGUUGAAUAAUAUUCCACUAAAUUACAUGUAUAUAGCUGGGCAUAGUGGCACAUGUCUCUAAUCUCAACACAGAGAAGACAGAGGCAGAUAGAUUUCUGGGUGUUUGAGGCCAGCAUGGUCUAUAUAGUGAGUUCUAGGUCUGCCAGGGCUAUAUAGUGAGGCUCUGCCUCUCUCUCCAAAAAAAGUGUUUAUCACAGUCUAUCCAUUCACCUGUUGAUGGAUUUUUUAAAAAUUUUAUUUACUUUUAUUUCAUUUGUGUUGGUAUUUUGCCUGCACAUAUGUCUGUGUGUUGUAAGUUGCCCUGUGGGCACUGGGAAUUAAACCCAAGUCCUCUGAAAGAGCAGUCAGUGCUCUUACCUGAAGAGCCAUCUCUCCAGCCCCUGUUGAUAUAUAUAUUUAGUUUAUAGGCUUAUAUGAAUAGAAGCACCAUUCAUAUUUAUGUACAAGUACCUUUUUGGAUGCCUGCUUUUAGCUGGGUAUACACUCCAGAAGCAGAAUUACUAGGUUGCAUGGGAGUUCUAGGUUUAAUUUCUUGAGAAACCACCCAACUGAUUUCCCAUAGCAGUUGCACCGCCAGCAACUUGUACUCGCUCCAAGAUCUCUACACCCGUGCCAGCAAGUAUUUGUAGAUAAAUUCUUCAGUAGAACUCAAACUGUCAAUCUCAUCAUACUCCCCUGCUCUAUACUCCUGACCACUUAACUUUCAUGACAGUCUCAAUUCAUUCCUAGGGUCCAACUUAGCACCUGUAGCACGAAUUCUAAUUGUUCUUAAUAAUAAAAACUCAGAGUUGGAUAUUGGGGUUAAUGCUAAAGAUCAGAGAGGCAAAGAGGCCAGCCACAAGACAGUUCUCAACUCUACCAAAGUGGUGAUCUUGUCCUCAAACUGCAUCCUCAGACUGCUUAGACUGCACUGCUCCUCAGACUGCAUCUCUCUCUUGUCUCCCCUGCCUUAUAUUCCUCUCUGUGCCCAGCCAUCACUCCCGUCUCCACCUCCUUAGUGAUGGGAUUAAAGGUGUGUCACUCCAAGUGCUGGGAUCACUUUUGUGUGAACUCUGUUUCUCUUUUAGACUGGAUUGAUUUUGUGUAGCCUAGGGUGGCCUUGAACUAACAAAGACCUAUCUUCUGAGUGCUAGGGUUAAAGGUGUGUGCCACCACUGCCUGGCCUCUAUGGCUAACUAGUGUGGUUAGCUUUGCAUUCUGAUCUUCAAGCAAGCUUUAUUUGCUAGAUCAUAAACAAAUCAUCACCACAGCAUCUUUGUGUAAAAGUAUGUUAGUAACUCUGCUCACUCUUAGGGGACACGAUUUUUUCACAUGUUAAAAAAAAUUAUAUGAAAGUCAAGUUUAAAGGAGAGAAAUGGCUUUCAUUGUCACUGGGUAUGAGAAGCUGUAUCCUUCCUUCUGGGGCAUGUGAGGUUGGUAUUACUUUUGGUCCUGUGUGGGGCUGGAUACACCAGCUUCACCCUCAUGGACAAGCUUUCUUGAAGGACCACACCAAUUAUAUUAGUUCCUUGUCUUUGAAAAAAUUUGUGUGUGUGUGUGUGUGUGUGUGUGUGUGUGUUCUCUUCUUCUGUCAUGCAUCUGGAGAUCGAACUCAGGCCGUCAGACUUACCUUCACCACCUGAGCCAUCUUGUUGACCUUAGUUACUUGUCUCAUUGCUUUCAUAAAAUACUCGAUGAAAGUAAUUUAAGAAAGAAAGGUUUAUUUUUUCCUUAUGGUUCUAGAGAAUGCUGCCUGUAUUAGUCAGGGUUCUCUAGAGUCAAAGAACUUAUGGAGUGAAUCUCCCUCUAUGUAUGUAUAAAGAGAAUUUAUUGGAAUGACUUACAGGCUGCAGUCCAGCUAGUCCAAUAAUGGCUAGCUGUGAAUGCAAAGUCCAAGAAUCUAGCAAUUGAUCAGUCCUAUGAGGCUGGGUAUCUCAGCUGGUCUUCUGUGUAUGCUGGAAUCCCCCAAAAGCAAGCUCCAAUGCCAGUGAAGGAAUGGAUGUGCUAGCUAGGUGAGGGCAAAACAAAACCUUCCUUCUUCCUUGUCAUUAUAUAGAUUUCCAGCAGAAGGUGUGGCCCACAUUGAGGGUGUGCCUUCCCACCUCAAGAUCCUGGUCAAAAGCCUGUGUCUUCUUGCCUCAAGGUCUGGAUCACAGAUGCAAUGUGACCGGUCGUCUCCUGCCACCCUGUCUUCCCCACCACGGUGGACUGCACCCUGAGACUGUGAGUCAAAAUAAAACCCUCCUUCCUUUGGAAGCCACCAAGAGAAAACUAACCCACGUUUCGGUAUUCCUGCCUCUACUUACUGAGUGAUGUGAUUUCAGGUGUUUGCUAUCAAGUUGGAGUCCCGUGAUGCUGGAGGAUGAACACAGGGUUUUGUAUGUGCGUGCUAAGACCACCAACCGAUCAACCUCCCAGCCCUGUGAUUAUUUUAGAGUAGAAAUAUUACUGUCAUAGCAGCAUUAGUAUGCGCGUCUCUACUCCUCAUCUGAGAAUGGCCUGGGUGCUGAUGAGGGUGUGGCCUGGCCAAGCUCCUUUUUGUCAGAGCCAUUUCCUGUGCAGUCUGUGCGGCUUCUACCAUCUUGCUCCUCUGUUCCGAUUUGCGGUUUCCUGGGCCUCGCGUUCCUCCCUGUCGAGGACCACAAUUAACCAGCGUGCUUUGAGUCUUCUGAUGAGGACCACAUUAACCAGGCUGCUUUGCCACUUCUGACGUUGUAUUGGGUUAGCACGCUGAGCCUGCUCUUUGGCCUCAGAACCCUAAAACACUACCUUGUUGGCUUCUCUCUGUUGUUCCAAAGUCUUCAGUGGCUCCCUAUGAACCUCUGAUACCCCAUCCAAAUUGCCAACUUCAUCUUCGAGUACUCUUUUUCACCCUCCAUGGUUUAGACUCAUGGACUUCUUCUCCAAGCCCAUCAGGUAACUUCUUAGUUUCUUGCUCUUCUCUGUCUUUGCCAGCCCAGCUUCCCCAAGUGUCUUGAAAAUACCCGACAGUUUCCAGUCUUUGCUCAUUCUGGCUCCCUGUGUGGAAUGCCUUCCUCCACACUGCCGACGUUUUUCCUUGCUCUAAACACCCCUGACCUUAUGACUACAUCCUCCGUAGAUCUCCCCCCCCCCGCCCCCAGGCUUUAGCAACUUGCAUUUAUUCAAGAACCCUGCACUAUUUUGUGAUGUUCUGUGCGAGUUCCCCGAUUUAUCAGAGGAUUAUCAGAGGAGGUUUUGUCCCAGGACGAAGCUCUUGUGAGCUCUGUGGUGAAGAGCCGUGUUACUCGGAGGAGGGCUUUUCACGGCUCACAAAACGAAGAGGGAGGAGGCCAGCAAAGAGUCUGAUCGAGUAAUUUGUGCCAGGACAAACUUAAAGAAAACAGAAACGAGAGGAGAGAACGCAUCUGCAAACUAUCUGGAGGAGCAAAACAGCAGGAUCUGGUCCAACAGAUGACAUAGGAGAGCCAGAAAUAAGUUCUGAGGUUUCUGGUCCGCUGAAGAUGGAAAGACUGGUGGAUAACUGGGAAUGUGGAUGCAAGACAGUUUUGCUUUGUACUUGAGCUUCAGAAGAUGGAGAGAUAAUUAAGAGCUGAGGACUCGGAGUUCUGAGUCUUCUGGGGGACGGGCAUUGAAUGAAGGGAGAAUAAAGACUGCAUUAAGAAGCUGGGCGGUCGUGCUGCACUCCUUUAAUCCCAGCACUCAGGAGGCAGAGGCAGGCAGAUCUCUGUAAAUUUGAGGCCAGCCUGGUCUAUAGAGCAAGUUCCAGGACAGCCUCCAAAGCUUACAGAAAAAUCCAUCAAAAACAAAAAACAAACAAACAAACAAAAAAAAAACAAGCAAAAACUUCAUAAAGAACAAAGUCCUGAAGGGCUACCACCAAGGAGAGAAGACCUGGGAGAGGGUAGGAUGGGGCUGGAUGUAGAGAACACAGUGCUGUGGAAAUCAUUGAGACAGCUUGAAGGCUGGAUAGUGUGAAUGAGUCAUCGACUAUCUGUGAAGAGUGAAGAGUAGCAAACAGUGGAGUCAUAGCAGAGCCUGGGAGGGGAUGGAGACCUGUGUAGAGAGGGGCUUUAAAAGGUUGCUGGAAACCAACCUGUGGGCCAAGUGGCAGCAAGAAACAGCCCAGAGAGAAAAGCGGUUUAGUAACAGAACCAUACUAGUAGAAACUCAUGGUUUAAAUCAAAGAGGACUGAGUGUCAGCUCUCUGAAAAAUAUCUAUUUGGACAUACAUGGACUUCCACCUCUUAGCACAGAACAGAUAUCAUUGAGGUGGCCUGGGAUGCUUGUUGGGCCCUGGCCUCGGCACCCCCUGUUUGAAUCAGACAUCAGCUCAGAACUGAACUCAGGUCUCCUCCAAGAGUUGCAAGUGCUCUUAACCAUUGAGCCAUCUCUUUGGCCCUAAAUUAUCUUUUUCUUUUUUCAUUUUCUUUGAAUUUGUUUUAAAUAUGAGUUAACUAUUUAAAUUUUUUUUUUUUUGAGACAGGAUAUCACUCUAAGAUCCUGGCUGUCCUGGAACUCACCAUGUUGACCAAGCCAACAUCAAAUUUACAGAAAUUCAACUGCCUCUGCCUCCCGAGUGCUGGGAUUAAAGAUGUGUGCCAAUAAGCCCACCCUUACUUCAUUUUCAUACAGCCUGGGGAUAGUGCUCCCCGUAAUGGAACACUUGAGUCUUCCAAACUCAACUGACCUAAUCAAGACAGUCUCCCACGGCAUGCCUGGAGAUUGUCCUCCUAGGCCAUUCUAGUUUUCAUCCAGUUGACAAUGGAGAUUAAUCCUCACAAUUUGUAAGGGUUGAGGGAGAUCACCUAUAUUGAGAACACAUGAUAAAGUGCUCAAUAAACCAAUGUCAUUUUUUUGCCAUCAUGAGGACUCGCUGCUAAAUUCGUGACCUCAAGAGCUCCCCGAUGCUAUUAGUUAGGUGUCCUUUGAGUCUGUCUGUUGCUAGGUACAAUUUCUCAGGGUUAGUAAGUAAAAAUGUAGAUUGCCCAGGUGAGUUUGAAUUUUAGAUAAUACAU
ensembl:lncRNA